rnacentral:rRNA from 1 species
AUUGAACGCUGGCGGCAGACCUAACACAUGAAAGUCGAGCGAGCGGCGGACGGGUGAGUAAUGUCUGGGAAACUGCCUGAUGGAGGGGGAUAACUACUGGAAACGGUAGCUAAUACCGCAUACCAUCAGAUGUGCCCAGAUGGGAUUAGCUAGUAGGUGGGGUAACGGCUCACCGAGGGGACGAUCCCUAGCUGGUCUGAGAGGAUGACCAGCCACACUGGAACUGAUACACGGUCCAGACUCCUACGGGAGGAAGUAGUGGGGAAUAUUGCACAAUGGGCGCAAGCCUGAUGCAGCCAUGCCUCGUGUGUGAAGAAGGCCUUCGGGUUGGAAAGCACUUUCAGCGGGGAGGCGUUACCCUAAGAACAAGAACCGGCUAACUCCGUGCCAGCAGCCGCGGUAAUUC